ACUGCUGGACAAGGAGUGUUCUGUUGAGCUCAUUUUCACACGAUGAACAACUGGCUUAGAACUGAUUCGGGCAAGGGGAAUCCGACUGUUUAAUUGAAACAAAGCAUUGCGAGGGCCUCAAAGGGUGGUGCCACAAUGUGAUUUCUGCCCAGWGCUCUGAAUGUCAAAGUGMGGAAAUUCAAYUWAGCGCGGGUAAACGGCGGGAGUAACUAUGACUCUYUUAAGGUAGCCAAAUGCCUSGUCAUCCAAUUAGUGACGCGCAUGAAUGGAYUAAUGAGAUUCCCACUGUCCCCAUCUACUGUCCAGCGAAACCACAGCCAAGGGAACGGGCUUGGGUAAAUCAGCGGGGAAAGAAGACCCUGUUGAGCUUGACUYUAAUMWGACUUUGUGAAAUGACUUAGGAGGUGUAGGAUAUGUGGGAGCUCUGGUGAUCUUGAAAUACCACUACUYUUAAUGWCACUUUACUUACUCUAUCAGACUGUGGCCUGCUUCCCAGCAGGUUUUUGUUUCAAGGCAUCUCAUCUGACUUGUUGACUUGCGUAGAGGACGUAGUCAGGUGGGCAGUUUGGCUGGGGCGGCACAUCUGUUAAAGGAUAACGCAGGUGUCCCAAGGUAAGCUCAAGGAGAACAGAAAUCUCAUGUGGAUCAGAAGGGGAAAUGCUUGCUUGAUUUUGCUUUUCAGUGUGAAGACAAACUGUGCAAACAUGGCCUAUCGAUCCUUUGG
rnacentral:rRNA from 1 species